UAAAAAUCUUUCUUUUCUGGAAAUAGUUCUUCGUUCUUUUAAUUUAUUUUGUCAAAGAAGCAUGUUAGAUAUUAGGAGAAGGGUUUGUAUGAUGAGCGAAGAACUUUUCACUGUGUUUAUACAAAUGUGGAAGUAUCAGGCUCCAAAUAUAAAGAUUCAACUGGUUGCAUUUUUUAAUAAACUUCUACUCAUGCAAAAAUAUUUUCACAGUAAGAGGAGUUGCUGGCAGGAAUGUUUGAAAGAGUUGUUUGGCUUAGUUUACCAAGAGUUUUUUUAUUUAAGUGGAAGAAUCUCUAU
rnacentral:lncRNA from 1 species